rnacentral:rRNA from 1 species
GAUGAACGCUAGCUACAGGCUUAACACAUGCAAGUCGCAGGGUAACAUGAGGAAAGCUUGCUUUCCUUGAUGACGACUGGCGCACGGGUGAGUAACGCGUAUCCAACCUUCCCAUAACUACGGGAUAACCCGUUGAAAGACGGCCUAAUACCGUAUGACAUCGUUUGCUGACAUCAAAUAACGAUUAAAGGUUUAGCGGUUAUGGAUGGGGAUGCGUCUGAUUAGCUUGUUGGCGGGGUAACGGCCCACCAAGGCGACGAUCAGUAGGGGUUCUGAGAGGAAGGUCCCCCACAUUGGAACUGAGACACGGUCCAAACUCCUACGGGAGGCAGCAGUGAGGAAUAUUGGUCAAUGGGCGAGAGCCUGAACCAGCCAAGUAGCGUGCAGGAAGACGGCCCUAUGGGUUGUAAACUGCUUUUAUGUGGGGAUAAAGUGCGUGACGUGUCAUGCAUUGCAGGUACCACAUGAAUAAGGACCGGCUAAUUCCGUGCCAGCCGCCGCGGUAAAAGGG